rnacentral:tRNA from 1 species
GCCUGGGUGGCUCAGUCGGUUAAGCGUCCGACUUCGGCUCAGGUCAUGAUCUCACAGUUUGUGGGUUCAAGCCCCGCACUGGGCU